rnacentral:lncRNA from 12 species
GAGAUUAGUGUUGUUAUAAGAAGAGGAAGCAUUUUCUCCCUCUCUCUGCACACGUGCACACUGAGGACACAGUGAGAAGGUGGCCAUCUGCAAGCCAAGAAAAGAGCUCACACUAGAACACAACCAGGCUCACCCCUUGACCUCAGACUUCAGCCAUUGGAAUUGGGAGAUAGUAGACUUCUCUGGUUUCACCACCCAGCUGAGAAGACUAAUAUAACAUCAUUUUCCUCGGUUUCCUGAUGGGGAAAUGGAAGCUCCUAGAGGCUCCGUAACUUGAUUAAGGUCACACAACUGGGGAGGGUAAAGCCGGAUUCUCAAUCCAGGACUAUGUCCUACACCACAAGCUCCGCACCACACCAGAUCCUCCAGUCACUGCAGGAAAGCUGCUUUAUGACCACCUUGAGUUCUAGAUCAUUCCUCUGUGAUGACAUAAAAAUCUAUUAUGAAAGUACAGACACAAAUCGAGGAGUGGUGUGGCGGCAGGGUGGGAUUCUUGCAUGCCCUGAGCUCUAUUUUGAUAUUGUCAAUGAAAUCCCGCAUUUCCUGGGGUCUUCUGAAAUCCCUUCCCUGCAAGCGUCUUACUUUCUGCCUAAGACUCCCUGGUUAAGAGGCAGGCAGAGCUGCAAUUCAGAGCUCAGUCUAUGGAAACAGAAACGAAGCCCUUGUGCUUCAAGAAUCACUCAGCAGAUGUAUUCAAGGGAGGCAUUCACCGGAGGAAAAGCAAAGAGCAAAAGCAUUCUGGAAACACCGAGGAUUUCCAUGGGGAGCCCAAGGCCCAAGGGUUGGCAGGGCUGUUCCAGAGUGAACCACCGCCUCUCUGCCCGCUAACAGCCUGAACUUAUUCUGCGGAAAAUCUCACAUACAAUAUGCAUCCGACGGGGGGCGUGGGGGGGUACGUCUGAGGUGUGUUAAUGGCAUUUGUUCUCCAGGCACCUGCCGUCCCCAGAGCCGGAAGCGCCACGGUGUGAUGCACUAUUGAGGAGCCCCAGGGGUGGGUUUCAGGCUGGUCAGAAAAGUGGCGGCCCCAAAGAACCAGCACUAUUGCUGUUGUCGGGCCACAGAGGGCUGUCACGGCCAGCACGACCCCGUCCUGUGGACUCAGCCUCCCUCAAGACUUCUUAGAGCGGAGAUUAUCACGUUGAUGAGUUUGUACCCAUAUUACUCGCCUGAUUAGCAGUAUCCACCCCGGGGUCCUCAUCCUCGCCUGUGGAGUCGUGCCGCUCUCGGUCUUAUUUUGGAUACAGAAGCCACACAAACCACCACCCGAGGGAGACAGUAGUGAAGCCAAGGGCCGGCUCCGGUGACAGGUAUAUAGCGGACGUAGGAUCGGGGCCCAGGAGGCCUGGCUGCAGAGCCUGGGCUUAGCUUGGACCUGUCAGCCUGUCACCUGUCGUGAGCACAGUGUUCCCUGCCGCAGGGCCCGGCCUGUGCCUGGAGGGACAGGCAGGAGCAGGUGAGCGCAGACCUUGGCCCAGUGGGGCAGGUGCGCUGGGCGGAGGGCCUACCGCUUCGCUGCCAUCCCCAGCCUGAGACUCAGAGGAGCCGCCCUGCCAGACACUCGUGUCACCGCAAGCAGGGCCAGGCAGACUGGACUAGCAGACGUUAGUGGCCAUGUGUCCCCUUCGGCCCCGGGGCGGGUGCAGGUGGCCUGUGUGGCCCGCCCGGGAACCCAGCAAGGCGUGGAGUUGAGGGCCAGCACACCGGGUGUAGACGGCAUGACCUGCCGUGGAGGCUGCAGUGUAGACAGCCUUGGCCGGCGCUGCAGGGUUGGGGUUGGCAGGCC